UACGUAGGGGGCAAGCGUUGUCCGGAAUCAUUGGGCGUAAAGAGCGCGUAGGCGGCCCUGUAAGUCCGCUGUGAAAGUCAAGGGCUCAACCCUUGGAUGCCGGUGGAUACUGCAGGGCUAGAGUCCGGAAGAGGCGAGUGGAAUUCCUGGUGUAGCGGUGAAAUGCGCAGAUAUCAGGAGGAACACCGAUGGCGAAGGCAGCUCGCUGGGACGGUACUGACGCUGAGGCGCGAAAGCGUGGGGGGCAAACAGG
rnacentral:rRNA from 1 species